UAGGGAAUCUUGGGCAAUGGGCGAAAGCCUGACCCAGCGAUGCCGCGUGUGUGAAGAAGGCCUUAGGGUUGUAAAGCACUUUCAGCAGUGAAGAAAUGCCGGGAGCUAAUACCUCUUCGGUUUUGACGUUAACUGCAGAAGAAGCACCGGCUAACUCCGUGCCAGCAGCCGCGGUAAUACGGAGGGUGCGAACGUUAAUCGGAAUUACUGGGCGUAAAGCGCGCGUAGGCGGUUUGAUAAGUGGGAUGUGAAAGCCCUGGGCUUAACCUGGGAAUUGCAUUCCAAACUGUCAGGCUAGAGUAUGGUAGAGGGAGGUAGAAUUUCCUGUGUAGCGGUGAAAUGCGUAGAUAUAGGAAGGAAUACCGGUGGCGAAGGCAGCCUCCUGGACCAAUACUGACGCUGAGGUGCGAAAGCGUGGGGAGCAA
rnacentral:rRNA from 1 species